rnacentral:rRNA from 1 species
GUGGGGUAGUGGCAUACCAAGGCGACGACGGGUAGCCGGCCUGAGAGGGUGACCGGCCACACUGGGACUGAGACACGGCCCAGACCCCUACGGGAGGCAGCAGUGGGGAAUAUUGGACAAUGGGCGGAAGCCUGAUCCAGCAACGCCGCGUGAGGGAUGACGGCCUCCGGGUUGUGAACCUCUUUCAGUGGGGACGAAGCGCAAGUGACGGUACCCACAGAAGAAGCACCGGCCAACUACGUGCCAGCAGCCGCGGUAAUACGUAGGGUGCGAGCGUUGUCCGGAAUUAUUGGGCGUAAAGGGCUCGUAGGCGGUUUGUCGCGUCGGGAGUGAAAACACUGGGCUUAACUCAGUGCUUGCUUCCGAUACGGGCGGACUAGAGGUAUUCAGGGGAGAACGGAAUUCCUGGUGUAGCGGUGAAAUGCGCAGAUAUCAGGGGGAACACCGGUGGCGAAGGCGGUUCUCUGGGAAUUACCUGACGCUGAGGAGCGAAAGUGUGGGGAGCGAACAGGAUUAGAUACCCUGGUAGUCCACACCGUAAACGUUGGGCGCUAGGUGUGGGGUCCAUUCCACGGAUUCCGUGCCGCAGCUAACGCAUUAAGCG